GAUGAACGCUGGCGGCGUGCCUAAUACAUGCAAGUCGAGCGAACGGACGAGAAGCUUGCUUCUCUGACGUUAGCGGCGGACGGGUGAGUAACACGUGGAUAACCUACCUAUAAGACUGGGAUAACUUCGGGAAACCGGAGCUAAUACCGGAUAAUAUUUUGAACCGCAUGGUUCAAAAGUGAAAGGCGGUCUUGCUGUCACUUAUAGAUGGAUCCGCGCUGCAUUAGCUAGUUGGUAAGGUAACGGCUUACCAAGGCAACGAUGCAUAGCCGACCUGAGAGGGUGAUCGGCCACACUGGAACUGAGACACGGUCCAGACUCCUACGGGAGGCAGCAGUAGGGAAUCUUCCGCAAUGGGCGAAAGCCUGACGGAGCAACGCCGCGUGAGUGAUGAAGGUCUUCGGAUCGUAAAACUCUGUUAUUAGGGAAGAACAUAUGUGUAAGUAACUAUGCACAUCUUGACGGUACCUAAUCAGAAAGCCACGGCUAACUACGUG
rnacentral:rRNA from 1 species